CCAUUUAACACAGCAGUUGAUUCCCUACCUCGCACCGUUUCUCGGCGCACAGCCGCCCUUUAACUGGUCCUUCGGCUGCUCUGUCCCUUCGUUCCCCCAGCCAACAGGCACGAACGUAAUAAUAUCCUAACACAACGACCAGGGUCAUAAGAUAAUGCAAAGCCUAGUGCCAUGAAAAAAUGAAAGCCCAACCCAACCGUUUUUUCCUCCGACGCUUCCCCUCCCAUCCUCGUCCAAUCCGCCUCCUCUCAUCGAGCCAAGUCCUCCUCCCCAUUCUCCUCCUAUCAUCCUCCGCCAAGAUCUGCACACCUCCCCCUAGAUCCGGUCCCCUCCCAAGUCCUCGCCGCUCCCCAUCC
rnacentral:lncRNA from 1 species